rnacentral:ncRNA from 1 species
AAAUGUAGAGGCGCAUUUUGCAUGAGUAGUGCUGGGGAUAUGGCAGGCAUAGACGAAACAGUACGAAAGGGUACGAUGCCGAAGAGGUGUAUAUUCCUGCGGAUACACUUCUGGGCAUAUGGUUAAGAGCCAUAUGACUGUCAUCGUAAGAUGGAGUGCUGCUUU